AGAGUUUGAUCCUGGCUCAGAUUGAACGCUGGCGGAAUGCUUUACACAUGCAAGUCGAGCGGCAGCGCGGGGCAACCUGGCGGCGAGCGGCGAACGGGUGAGUAACACAUCGGAACGUGCCCAGACGUGGGGGAUAGCCCGGCGAAAGCCGGAUUAAUACCGCAUGUGAUCUGAGGAUGAAAGUGGGGGACCGCAAGGCCUCACGCGUUUGGAGCGGCCGAUGGCAGAUUAGGUAGUUGGUGGGGUAAAGGCUUACCAAGCCUGCGAUCUGUAGCUGGUCUGAGAGGAUGAUCAGCCACACUGGGACUGAGACACGGCCCAGACUCCUACGGGAGGCAGCAGUGGGGAAUUUUGGACAAUGGGCGCAAGCCUGAUCCAGCCAUUCCGCGUGCAGGACGAAGGCCUUCGGGUUGUAAACUGCUUUUGUACGGAACGAAAAGCCCUUCUCUAAUAAAGGGGGGUCAUGACGGUACCGUAAGAAUAAGCACCGGCUAACUACGUGCCAGCAGCCGCGGUAAU
rnacentral:rRNA from 1 species